UACGAAGGGUGCUAGCGUUGUUCGGAAUUACUGGGCGUAAAGCGCGCGUAGGCGGCCAUUCAAGUCAGAGGUGAAAUCCCUGGGCUCAACCCAGGAAUUGCCUUUGAAACUGUAUGGCUGGAGUGUCGGAGGGGAUAGCGGAAUUCCUAAUGUAGAGGUGAAAUUCGUAGAUAUUAGGAGGAACACCGGUGGCGAAGGCGGCUAUCUGGACGACAACUGACGCUGAGGCGCGAAAGCACGGGGAUCAAACAGG
rnacentral:rRNA from 1 species